GGAGUUUCCAAGGGUAACUUGUAUAAAUCUGAAAUAUGAGGAAAAUGUGAUCGCUAAUUGGUAAAAGGAUUCUUAAAGGGAAUGAUUGGGUAAGAUUACAGCCUUGGAAGAUAUCACAAUCGUGUGCAAUAAUAGAAAGCAAAAGUUUGAGUUCAAAUGAAAAAACAGGGUAUUUGUCAAAGGAAUUCAGUAAUUCACUAACACAAGGCCAGCUAGAACAACCAAAUCUACCUCAUGAAAUUGCAAGCGUCUGCAUCAGCAUCUGCAUCUGCAUUUGUAGAAUUGAGCUUCAAACCUGGAACAAGAGUUGAAUCUGUACAUCCACAAUGGGGCUACUUUUCAGCUUUUGGAAACCAGUAUUCAUUACUGAAUGGUGAUCACACAAAAGGCCCAAGAAAAAUUCUUUGAACAUGGAAUCUCACUAUCUCAGCGUAUCGAGAUUGUCUAUAUACCUUAUCAAGUGACUUCUGUGGAUCAAUUCAUAUAUUGGUGAAGGCAGCAUAUUGGCAGUAUGGUUCAUGGGAUGCAAGACCUUCAGUUAAUCUCAAAGGAACCUAUUCUGGUGGCAAAGUUUCCGAUAAUUUCCAAUCAGAAUUACAAUUUUGAUGCAUCAAAUUCACAUGCACGAACCACAAGUAAGUCGAAGAAUAGUAUUACUUGUACACGCAACAAAUUCACAAUCAGUAGCUGGAAUCUCAUAACCCAAUCCAGGAUAACUAGAAGGCAUAGUAACAGACAGAAUCUCUCUCUCUCUCUCUCUCUCUCCCCUCCUCACUG
rnacentral:lncRNA from 1 species